rnacentral:misc_RNA from 1 species
GAUGAAGAACGCAGCGAAAUGCGAUAAGUAGUGUGAAUUGCAGAAUUCAGUGAAUCAUCGAAUCUUUGAACGCACAUUGCGCCCCUUGGUAUUCCAUGGGGCAUGCCUGUUCGAGCGUCAUUUGUACCUUCAAGCUCUGCUUGGUGUUGGGUGUUUGUCUCGCCUCUGCGUGUAGACUCGCCUCAAAACAAUUGGCAGCCGGCGUAUUGAUUUCGGAGCGCAGUACAUCUCGCGCUUUGCACUCAUAACGACGACGUCCAAAAGUACAUUUUUACACUCUUGACCUCGGAUCAGGUAGGGAUACCCGCUUAACUUAAGCAUAUCAAUAAGCGGAGGA